rnacentral:rRNA from 1 species
UGGGGAAUAUUGCACAAUGGGCGAAAGCCUGAUGCAGCGACGCCGCGUGAGCGAAGAAGUAUUUCGGUAUGUAAAGCUCUAUCAGAAGGGAAGAAAAUGACGGUACCUUACUAAGAAGCUCCGGCUAAAUACGUGCCAGCAGCCGCGGUAAUACGUAUGGAGCAAGCGUUAUCCGGAUUUACUGGGUGUAAAGGGAGUGUAGGCGGCACUAUAAGUCUGAUGUGAAAACCUAAGGCUUAACCAUAGAAUUGCAUUGGAAACUGUAGAGCUGGAGUAUCGGAGAGGCAAGCGGAAUUCCUGGUGUAGUGGUGAAAUGAGUAGAUAUCAGGAAGAACAUCGGUAGCGAAGGCGGCUUGCUGGACGAUAACUGACGCUAAAGAUCGAAAGCGUGGGAAGCGAACAGG